rnacentral:rRNA from 1 species
GAUGAACGCUAGCUACAGGCUUAACACAUGCAAGUUGAGGGGCAGCACAGUGUAGCAAUACAUGGGUGGCGACCGGCGCACGGGUGCGUAACGCGUAUCCAACUUUCCCGUUACUCAGGGAUAGCCUUCCGAAAGGGAGAUUAAUACCUGAUGGUGUUUGAAAUUCGCAUGUUCUUCAAACUAAAGAUUUAUCGGUAACAGAUAGGGAUGCGUGACAUUAGAUAGUAGGCGGGGUAACGGCCCACCUAGUCUACGAUGUCUAGGGGUUCUGAGAGGAAGGUCCCCCCCACUGGAACUGAGACACGGUCCAGACUCCUACGGGAGGCAGCAGUGAGGAAUAUUGGUCAAUGGUCGGAAGACUGAACCAGCCAAGUAGCGUGAAGGAUGAAGGUUCUAUGGAUUGUAAACUUCUUUUAUACGGGAAUAAAGCCCGCUACGUGUAGCGGUUUGUAUGUACCGUAUGAAUAAGCAUCGGCUAACUCCGUGCCAGCAGCCGCAGUAACAC